AUCUGCCUCAUCGGAUUUACCACGGUCGUCUAAAUCAACCUCAGCAAGUAAAUUAUCAGCUUUUGCAACACUGUGAAGCUGAAAGUGUAUCAUACCUGGAUGAGGUGGCCAGCAACACAGCAACUCAGGAUAUGGCGCACACUCUUGGACUCGAGUUUUGCAACUCUGUGAAGCUGAAAGUGUAUCAUACCUAGAUGAGUUGGCCAGCAAUGGCAACUCAGGAUAUGGCAAAGUUUGUUGGACUCGAGGUUCCUGCAAUGCGGAAAAAAGCUUGGUAUAGAUUCAAGACAGUUAAAUGCUCCCUCCAAUAACUCCCUCCAAGGCAA